rnacentral:rRNA from 1 species
GAUGAACGCUGGCGGCGUGCCUAAUACAUGCAAGUCGAACGCUGGAGAUCUAGCUUGCUAGAUCGAAGGAGUGGCGAACGGGUGAGUAAUACAUAAGCAACCUACCCACGAAGACUGGGAUAAUCUCUGGAAACGGGGACUAAUACCGGAUAGGUAAUCGGAAGGCAUCUUCUGGUUAUUAAAGGUUAAAAACACUGGUGGAUGGGCUUAUGGCGCAUUAGUUAGUUGGUGAGGUAACGGCCCACCAAGACGAUGAUGCGUAGCCGGCCUGAGAGGGUGAACGGCCACAUUGGGACUGAGACACAGCCCAGACUGCUACGGGAGGCAGCAGUAGGGAAUUUUCGGCAAUGGGGGCAACCCUGACCGAGCAACGCCGCGUGAGUGAAGACGGCCUUCGGGUUGUAAAGCUCUGUUGUAAGGGAAGAACGGUAGAUAGAGAAUAUCUAAGUGACGGUACCUUACCAGAAAGCCACGGCUAACUACGUG